rnacentral:rRNA from 1 species
AACGAACGCUGGCGGCGCGCCUAAUACAUGCAAGUCGAGCGAGAAGACGUAGCAAUACGUUUGUAAAGCGGCGAACGGGUGAGGAAUACAUGGGUAACCUACCCUCGAGUGGGGAAUAACUAGCCGAAAGGUUAGCUAAUACCGCGUACGCUCCUUGGACUUCGGUUCAGGGAGGAAAGCGAUACCGCGGGUAUCGCGCUCUUGGAUGGGCUCAUGUCCUAUCAGCUUGUUGGNGAGGUAACGGCUCACCAAGGCUUCGACGGGUAGCUGGUCUGAGAGGACGAUCAGCCACACUGGCACUGCGACACGGGCCAGACUCCUACGGGAGGCAGCAGUAAGGAAUAUUGCGCAAUGGGCGAAAGCCUGACGCAGCGACGCCGCGUGGGGGAUGAAGGUUUUCGGAUUGUAAACCCCUUUCGGGAGGGAAGAUGGAACGAGCAAUCGUUCGGACGGUACCUCCAGAAGCAGCCACGGCUAACUUCGUGCCAGCAGCCGCCGCGGUAAC